rnacentral:rRNA from 1 species
GACGAACGCUGGCGGCGUGCCUAAUACAUGCAAGUAGGACGCAGUUGCGAACGGGUGAGUAACGAGUAGGUAACUACCUAUGAGAGGGGGAUAACUAAUGGAAACGAUAGCAAAUACAGCAUACUAGUAGAUGGCACUGCGUUGUAUUAGCUAGUAGGUAGGGUAAUGGCCUACUUAGGCAACGAUACAUAGCCGACCGGAGAGGGUGAUCGGCCACACUGGUACUGAGCCACGGCCCAGCCUCCUCCGGGAGGCAGCAGUAGGGAAUCUUCGGCAAUGGGGGGAACCCUGACCGAGCAACGCCGCGUGAGUGAAGAAGGUUUUCGGAUCGUAAAACUCUGUUAUUAGUGAAGCGGUACCUAAUCAGAAAGCCACUGCUAACUACGUGCCAGCCGCCGCGGUAAUUC